rnacentral:rRNA from 1 species
ACCUAAUAGAUACCCUGGUAGUCCACGCCCUAAACGAUGCGAACUGGAUGUUGGGUACAUUACGGUACUCAGUGUCGAAAGCUAAACGCGUUAAAGUUCGCCGCCUGGGGAGUACGGUCGCAAGACUGGAACUCAAAGGAAUUGAACGGGGGCCCGCGACAAGCGGUGGAGUAUGUGGUUUAAUUCGUAUGCAACGCGAAGAACCUUACCUGGCCGUUGACAUCUGUCGGAAUCCUGCUAGAGAUGCGGGAGUGCCGCAAGGAACGACAAGACAGGUGCUGCAUGGCUGUCGUCAGCUCGUGUCGUGAG